UUAUAGAGCAAUAACACUUAAUUGUAUAUUAAAAAUAGAAUUUUGUUCUUUGGAGAUGCUGAAGUAUCAGUGGUUGUGAUUUUCAUUUAAAUUUAGGGCUUUUGUCUCCUCUUGCUGUUUUUUCUGCUUAGUUCUGUACUAACCCCUGUUUUGGGGAGCAAACGCUACUGUGCUGAUGCCACUUCAGUUGAAGGCUGCCUAAUCCAUAUGAACUAGGAGCUGGUUUUUGUGCCUGUUAUUUGACUUUUCUGAUUUGAACAGAAAACAACAAACAGUGCUGAGACUUGAAGCUAAUUCUACCGCAUAUCACGAAGACAAACAGCAAAGAAGCAGGGAUCCAAAUCCUGCUCCCAUUGACACCAAAGCUUUCAGAAGAAUUGCACAGUUUUUACACUGAUUUGUGCCACAGCACAGUUGUCUGUUCACCUGCUUUUCAGAGGUGACACCUACGUGACCCAUAAAUGUGCACAUAACACUAAUGAGACCACUCAUGGUGCCGUUUUUAUUUGUGUUGAGUAGAUGAAAGGCUACGGACAGAAAGCGAGGCUCUGUGUUUGCUGUGGUGCUAAUUGAAAACAAACAUCGGUUUCUCAGAUGGGUGAUAAACAGAACAACCUGGGAGUGCAAAACCCACUGUGCAGAGGAGCAGCAACAGCAGCGACAUGGGGAUGCUCCGUACCAGCCUGCAGCCGGGGACCACGCCACAGCUCACUCACCCACCGCCCU